GACGAACGCUGGCGGCGUGCUUAACACAUGCAAGUCGAACGGAAAGGCCCUGCUUUUGUGGGGUGCUCGAGUGGCGAACGGGUGAGUAACACGUGAGUAACCUGCCCUUGACUUUGGGAUAACUUCAGGAAACUGGGGCUAAUACCGGAUAGGAGCUCCUGCUGCAUGGUGGGGGUUGGAAAGUUUCGGCGGUUGGGGAUGGACUCGCGGCUUAUCAGCUUGUUGGUGGGGUAGUGGCUUACCAAGGCUUUGACGGGUAGCCGGCCUGAGAGGGUGACCGGCCACAUUGGGACUGAGAUACGGCCAAGACUCCUACGGGAGGCAGCAGUGGGGAAUAUUGCACAAUGGGCGGAAGCCUGAUGCAGCAACGCCGCGUGCGGGAUGACGGCCUUCGGGUUGUAAACCGCUUUCGCCUGUGACGAAGCGUGAGUGACGGUAAUGGGUAAAGAAGCACCGGCUAACUACGUG
rnacentral:rRNA from 1 species